AUGGCCACCAGGCUCCUUUCAUGCAUGGUCCUUUGUUUCUUGAGAGCAGAAUCAACAAAUACUGGGGUCAUCCAAACACCCAGCCAUAAGGUGACAAAGAUGGUACAAGAAGCAACUCUGAGAUGUAAACCAAUUUCAGGACACAGUGGUGUUUACUGGUACAGGCAGACCACUGUGCAGGAACUGGAAUUCCUGAUUUCCUUUCGCAACCAGGCUCCUAUAGAUGAUACAGGGAUGCCCAAAGAACGAUUCUCAGCUCAGAUGCCUGAUGCGAAGCUCUCCACUCUGAAGAUUCAGACCACACAACCCCAGGACUCAGCUGUGUAUCUCUGUGCCAGCAGCUUAGACACAGAGCUACAGAAUCAUAUCCGGCUGGGUCAGAAACCAUGCUUCCCCUUCCCUGUCUGUCUCCCAGAAACAGUUUUCAGCAGUGAUCCUGGGGUCUUCUCAGAACAGGAAGGAUGUGGGUUUAAUGUCUUCUCUGUGCCUAGGCAAGACAUUCUCCUGUAG